GACGAACGCUGGCGGCGUGCUUAACACAUGCAAGUCGAACGGAAAGGCCCCCAUCUUGGUGGGGGUGCUCGAGUGGCGAACGGGUGAGUAACACGUGGGUGAUCUGCCCUGUACUUCGGGAUAAGCUUGGGAAACUGGGUCUAAUACCGGAUAGGACCAUGGUUUAGUGUCUCAUGGUGGAAAGAUUAUUGUUUUGGUGCAGGAUGAGCUCGCGGCCUAUCAGCUUGUUGGUGGGGUAAUGGCCUACCAAGGCGUCGACGGGUAGCCGGCCUGAGAGGGUGGACGGCCACAUUGGGACUGAGAUACGGCCCAGACUCCUACGGGAGGCAGCAGUGGGGAAUAUUGCACAAUGGGCGCAAGCCUGAUGCAGCGACGCCGCGUGGGGGAUGACGGCCUUCGGGUUGUAAACUCCUUUCGUUAGGGACGAAGCCGCACUUUUUUGGGUGUGGUGACGGUACCUUUGUUAAGAAGCACCGGCUAACUACGUG
rnacentral:rRNA from 1 species